AUACGAAGGGGGCUAGCGUUGUUCGGAAUUACUGGGCGUAAAGCGCGCGUAGGCGGAUUGGUCAGUUAGGGGUGAACUCCCAGGGCUUAACCCUGGAACUGCCUCUAAUACUGCCAGUCUUGAGUUCGGGAGAGGUGAGUGGAAUUCCUAGUGUAGAGGUGAAAUUCGUAGAUAUUAGGAAGAACACCAGUGGCGAAGGCGGCUCACUGGCCCGAUACUGACGCUGAGGCGCGAAAGCGUGGGGAGCAAACAGGAUUAGAUACCCUAGUAGUCC
rnacentral:rRNA from 1 species